rnacentral:rRNA from 1 species
AACGAACGCUGGCGGCAGGCCUAACACAUGCAAGUCGAGCGAACCCUUCGGGGUUAGCGGCGGACGGGUUAGUAACGCGUGGGAAUAUACCCUUUGGUACGGAAUAGCCUCGGGAAACUGAGAGUAAUACCGUAUGUGCCCCUUGGGGAAAGAUUUAUCGCCAAAGGAUUAGCCCGCGUUGGAUUAGAUAGUUGGUGGGGUAAUGGCCUACCAAGUCUACGAUCCAUAGCUGGUUUGAGAGGAUGAUCAGCAACACUGGGACUGAGACACGGCCCAGACUCCUACGGAGGCAGCAGUGGGGAAUCUUAGACAAUGGGCGCAAGCCUGAUCUAGCCAUGCCGCGUGGACGAUGAAGGCCUUAGGGUUGUAAAGUCCUUUCAGAUGGGAAGAUAAUGACGGUACCAUCAGAAGAAGCCCCGGNUAACUCCGUGCCAGCANCCGCGUUAAAGCAGUGACU